UCGGCCUAAAGGUUUUUCUGUACACUGUGAACUAUAACCUAAAUGGAACUGUAAACAGACCAGGCUCACCUGGUCAGUAUUGUACCAUAGUUGGACCUGCAUCUACUGCAGCUCCUGCUUUAUUCUCCUUCAGCCUCCCCAACUCCUGGACCAGACGUGUAUUUCACUUUAUGAUGAAAAAACACUGGUCUUCCCUGCAGGACACACCCAUCAUCAAAGUUGGAGACUUGGAAGUGGUGAGAAAUAAGGGAAGGUUCCAAUCCAUCUUUCAUGAGUUUCAGCUCAGCCUCAGAGGUAUUGGAAGAGGCAAUCCACCAUGCGCUGUGAGCAUGCCUUUGUGUUCUUGUUGAAUGUGCCAAGAAUUUAAGCCUCCUUUUAUUUGGUCAUUUCUCAAGGUUGUGUUUAUAGCAAGAAUGCUGAAGAUGACGUAUCUCCCACUGUGACAAAGAACAAACUACUUACUGCUUAUUACAGAAGUAAUGGAUUCUCCAAACUCAGUGUUUCUCAGCUGUGAUACAGAUAUGCUGCAUGUGCAGUAUCCAUCUGAGAUUUUCUGUAAAGCCCCUGUGGGACUUGGGGAGCAAAGGGGACUAUGACAAGCAUGAUGUUCAUGCCAUUUGCUGUAUUGAAUGAAGUGAACUGUUUCAUCUGUGACCCCGAAGAAUCUUCAAAAUUUAGAUACUUCUUUAUUUAUAAGUUUGAAUUUUGUCAGUUGUUUUGGUCUCUUCCUGAGAGAAAAAUAGAAUUCUUAGUUUGAUUCUCUCUUCUCUGUCCUUAUUGGUUUUUAUUUCUUUAUCAUUAUUCUCUGUGCUUUAAAAUAUGUCUCAGUUUUGUCCUCUCUCUCAUGUUCUCAGGGUUUUCUAAUGUUAAUUCAGAUCUUUUCUUUUUUCAACAUGAAUUACAAGUGUUAUCAAGUAUUUGUUUUUUCUGUAAUCCUCUUAUUUUGCUUCUUUCCUUUCUUGACAUUUUAUUUCAGGAUGUUAUUUCCUUAAACCCAUUGUACCUCUUUCAUGGAGUACAUGAAGUCUGACCUCUUAGAAAAGAUGCCAAGAAGAUUCAUCACGUUUCUUUUGCUUAUACGGUUACUAUUUUCAGAAGACUUCCAAGUCUUAUUCCUGCUAACAUAGGAAGUUCCCUCAAGGAGAAAUUAAG
rnacentral:lncRNA from 1 species